CCUAAUACAUGCAAGUCGAACGCGUUGGCCCAAUUGAUUGAUGGUGCUUGCACCUGAUUGAUUUUGGUCGCCAACGAGUGGCGGACGGGUGAGUAACACGUAGGUAACCUGCCCAGAAGCGGGGGACAACAUUUGGAAACAGAUGCUAAUACCGCAUAACAACGUUGUUCGCAUGAACAACGCUUAAAAGAUGGCUUCUCGCUAUCACUUCUGGAUGGACCUGCGGUGCAUUAGCUUGUUGGUGGGGUAAUGGCCUACCAAGGCGAUGAUGCAUAGCCGAGUUGAGAGACUGAUCGGCCACAAUGGGACUGAGACACGGCCCAUACUCCUACGGGAGGCAGCAGUAGGGAAUCUUCCACAAUGGGCGCAAGCCUGAUGGAGCAACACCGCGUGAGUGAAGAAGGGUUUCGGCUCGUAAAGCUCUGUUGUUAAAGAAGAACACGUAUGAGAGUAACUGUUCAUACGUUGACGGUAUUUAACCAGAAAGUCACGGCUAACUACGUGCCAGCAGCCGCGGUAAUACGUAGGUGGCAAGCGUUAUCCGGAUUUAUUGGGCGUAAAGAGAGUGCAGGCGGUUUUCUAAGUCUGAUGUGAAAGCCUUCGGCUUAACCGGAGAAGUGCAUCGGAAACUGGAUAACUUGAGUGCAGAAGAGGGUAGUGGAACUCCAUGUGUAGCGGUGGAAUGCGUAGAUAUAUGGAAGAACACCAGUGGCGAAGGCGGCUACCUGGUCUGCAACUGACGCUGAGACUCGAAAGCAUGGGUAGCGAACAGGAUUAGAUACCCUGGUAGUCCAUGCCGUAAACGAUGAGUGCUAGGUGUUGGAGGGUUUCCGCCCUUCAGUGCCGGAGCUAACGCAUUAAGCACUCCGCCUGGGGAGUACGACCGCAAGGUUGAAACUCAAAGGAAUUGACGGGGGCCGCACAAGCGGUGCAGCAUGUGGUUUAAUUCUAAGCUACGCGAAGAACCUUACCAGGUCUUGACUUCUUGCGCCAACCCUAAAAAAAGGGCGUUUCCUUCGGGAACCCAAUAACAGAGGAGCAUGGUCGCCGCAACUCCUUCCUCGCAAGGUGGGUUAGUCCCCCACCACCGCACCCUUGUACAAAUGCCACAUUACUCGGGGGGGAACACCCGGAGAA
rnacentral:rRNA from 1 species